rnacentral:rRNA from 1 species
CUUGCUCGAGGAACUACAGUCUUAGUGGAAGGUGGCUGUGAAAAAGUACUUAAACAGACUUUCAAGAUUCUUCCAGAUGAGCAGCUGAAAAUAUCUCAUGUGUGCUGUCUAUCAACAUCUGCUGGUCCUCUGAUGGGAGUUAUGUGCAUUUCUACAGCUAAAAUGGCAUUCUGCAGUAACAAUCCUCUUUCUUACAAAGUUGAAAAUGACACUAAAUGGAGUUACUACACGGUGAUCAUUCCUCUUCGUCGGCUAAGAACAGCUAAGUCUUCAGUGAGCACAUUAAAUUCUGAAAAGUAUAUUCAGAUUGUGUCGGUUGAAGGGCAUGAGCUAUGGUUUAUGGGUUUUCUGAAGUACGACAAAGCAAUAUCCAGCCUGCAAGAAGCCCUUGUCAGUUCUCGUUAGUUGCAACCGUAG